AAAUUGAAGAGUUUGAUCAUGGCUCAGAUUGAACGCUGGCGGCAGGCCUAACACAUGCAAGUCGAGCGGUAGCACAGAGAGCUUGCUCUCGGGUGACGAGCGGCGGACGGGUGAGUAAUGUCUGGGAAACUGCCUGAUGGAGGGGGAUAACUACUGGAAACGGUAGCUAAUACCGCAUAACGUCGCAAGACCAAAGUGGGGGACCUUCGGGCCUCAUGCCAUCAGAUGUGCCCAGAUGGGAUUAGCUAGUAGGUGGGGUAACGGCUCACCUAGGCGACGAUCCCUAGCUGGUCUGAGAGGAUGACCAGCCACACUGGAACUGAGACACGGUCCAGACUCCUACGGGAGGCAGCAGUGGGGAAUAUUGCACAAUGGGCGCAAGCCUGAUGCAGCCAUGCCGCGUGUGUGAAGAAGGCCUUCGGGUUGUAAAGCACUUUCAGCGGGGAGGAAGGCGUUAAGGUUAAUAACCUUGGCGAUUGACGUUACCCGCAGAAGAAGCACCGGCUAACUCCGUGCCAGCAGCCGCGGUAAUACGGAGGGUGCAAGCGUUAAUCGGAAUUACUGGGCGUAAAGCGCACGCAGGCGGUCUGUCAAGUCGGAUGUGAAAUCCCCGGGCUUAACACGGGAACUGCAUUCGAAACUGGCAGGCUAGAGUCUUGUAGAGGGGGGUAGAAUUCCGGUGUAGCGGUGAAAUGCGUAGAGAUCUGGAGGAAUACCGGUGGCGAAGGCGGCCCCUGGACAAAGACUGACGCUCAGGUGCGAAAGCGUGGGGAGCAAACAGGAUUAGAUACCCCGGUAGUCCACGCCGUAAACGAUGUCGAUUUGGAGGUUGUGCCCUUGAGGCGUGGCUUCCGGAGCUAACGCGUUAAAUCGACCGCCCGGGAGUACGGCCGCAAGGUUAAAACUCAAAUGAAUUGACGGGGGCCCGCACAAGCGGUGGAGCAUGUGGUUUAAUUCGAUGCAACGCGAAGAACCUUACCUGGUCUUGACAUCCACAGAACUUAGCAGAGAUGCUUUGGUGCCUUCGGGAACUGUGAGACAGGUGCUGCAUGGCUGUCGUCAGCUCGUGUUGUGAAAUGUUGGGUUAAGUCCCGCAACGAGCGCAACCCUUAUCCUUUGUUGCCAGCGGUCCGGCCGGGAACUCAAAGGAGACUGCCAGUGAUAAACUGGAGGAAGGUGGGGAUGACGUCAAGUCAUCAUGGCCCUUACGACCAGGGCUACACACGUGCUACAAUGGCAUAUACAAAGAGAAGCGACCUCGCGAGAGCAAGCGGACCUCAUAAAGUAUGUCGUAGUCCGGAUUGGAGUCUGCAACUCGACUCCAUGAAGUCGGAAUCGCUAGUAAUCGUAGAUCAGAAUGCUACGGUGAAUACGUUCCCGGGCCUUGUACACACCGCCCGUCACACCAUGGGAGUGGGUUGCAAAAGAAGUAGGUAGCUUAACCUUCGGGAGGGCGCUUACCACUUUGUGAUUCAUGACUGGGGUGAAGUCGUAACAAGGUAACCGUAGGGGAACCUGCGGUUGGAUCACCUCCUUACCUUAAAGAA
rnacentral:rRNA from 1 species